rnacentral:rRNA from 1 species
AACGAACGCUGGCGGCAUGCCUAACACAUGCAAGUCGAACGAUUGCCUUCGGGUGAUAGUGGCGCACGGGUGCGUAACGCGUGGGAAUCUGCCCUUAGGUUCGGAAUAACAGCUGGAAACGGCUGCUAAUACCGGAUGAUAUCGCGAGAUCAAAGAUUUAUCGCCUGAGGAUGAGCCCGCGUUGGAUUAGGUAGUUGGUGGGGUAAAGGCCUACCAAGCCGACGAUCCAUAGCUGGUCUGAGAGGAUGAUCAGCCACACUGGGACUGAUACACGGCCCAGACUCCUACGGGAGGCAGCAGUGGGGAAUAUUGGACAAUGGGCGCAAGCCUGAUCCAGCAAUGCCGCGUGAGUGAUGAAGGCCCUAGGGUUGUAAAGCUCUUUUACCCGGGAAGAUAAUGACUGUACCGGGAGAAUAAGCCCCGGCUAACUCCGUG